CAGGGCCUUGUUUAGUUGCUGAGGCUGGCUUUGAACUCCUGCCUGGAUCCUCCUGCCUCAGCCUCUGGAGCCCCUGGGAUUACAGGUGUGCACCACUGCACUUGGCAUACUUAGUUUUUUAGUAAGCAGGCAGACUACUGGAGUUCGAUCCAGUUUGAUCUGCACCCCAUUAGCAAAGUGACUGAUCAAGUUCUGAGACCUCCCUAUACCUCCAUUUCCCCAAUGGCAAAAUGGGGAUAAUUCUUUAAAAUUUAUUUUAUUUUUCAAUUUAUAUAUGACAGUGGAAUGCAUUACAAUUCUUACUUCACAUAUAGAGCACAAUUUUUCAUAUCUCUGGUUGUAUACAAAGUAUAUUCACACCCAUUCCUGUCUUCAUACAAAAUGGGGAUAAUUUUAUAGAUACAUAGUGAAAAUAUUUACAGGUGAAUGGAUACAGUGUCUGGGCUUUGAUUUAAAUAAUUCUGGAAAAAUUUUUUUUGGAGGGGCGUGGAGGGGAAUAUUGGGAGUAUAGACAAGAUUGGCCUUGAGUGGAUUGUCGUUAGAGCUGAAUGAUUGACAUCUCCCACAAUGAAACAAUUUUUUUAAAGAAAGAAAAAAAAUGAAAAGUGGGGAGGGGGUGAAAGCGAUAAAUCUCCUUAGGAGAAGGGAUUAAAGAAAUAAAUUUAAAUGAAAUCCAAGAACCUGGAACAACGCCUGGCCCUCAGUUACGCUAUCUUGUUGUAAUUCGGGCCAGUCGCCACCAGGGGGCGCUCACCACUAAGAGCUCAGACUUAGAUUGUUACUUUGAGCUUGGAUCCCGGCUAGCACUGCCCAGCGGAAGCCUCUUAAUCUCUCAGGUUGGGAUGCAGCCUUUAUCUUAGCCUCAUUUUAUUCAUUUUAAAAAUGGAGAUAGUAAUAGUAUCGACUUCGAGUUGUCGGGAUGAUUCAUACACGGGGAUGUAUGGUGCCACCUAGAUCCUGUGCACGCCCCUCUCCCUGGACACCUCCUCCUGGACAUGGAUCUGCCUUCAUCUUCCCUGUCUUUCCUACAGGGACUCUCUCAACUGCCCAAGUAGAUCGGGAAAUUCAGCAAAGACGACAAAGGGAAGUUGUUUGCAAAAAUGGGAACUUUGGUUCGGAGUGGGCACUAGAGGGGGGAGUCUUCCUAGAAGCCGCAGGAACUUUUAGAAGCCGGUUUUCUUGAGAAGUGAUUGAGAUUUGAGCCUCUGUCAAUCACACCUGAGUCAGAAUUUUCAGUUCCAGCAUCUACAAUCCGCAUGACCUUGGACAAGUGACUUCGCCAGCCUACCGCUUAGUGUCCUCCUUUAUAAAAUGAUUAUUUUUAACAAGUAUUUUGAAGUGAGUGUGUUCUCUGUAUAUCACACAGUU
rnacentral:lncRNA from 1 species